rnacentral:tRNA from 1 species
GAUUCCGUAGCGCUGUGGUUAGCGUACCCGCCCGGAGAGCGGGAGGCCGUAAGUUCAACUCCUACCGGUAUCU